UAGGGUGGUUAUAGCAGAGGGGCUCACCUGUUCCCAUUCCGAACACAGAAGUUAAGCCCUCUAGCGCCGAUGGUACUGCUAACGCGGGAGAGUAGGUCGCCGCCAGUU
rnacentral:rRNA from 1 species